rnacentral:rRNA from 1 species
GACGAACGCUGGCGGCGUGCUUAACACAUGCAAGUCGAACGGAAAGGCCCUGCUUUUGUGGGGUGCUCGAGUGGCGAACGGGUGAGUAACACGUGAGUAACCUGCCCUUGACUUUGGGAUAACUUCAGGAAACUGGGGCUAAUACCGGAUAGGAGCUCCUGCUGCAUGGUGGGGGUUGGAAAGUUUCGGCGGUUGGGGAUGGACUCGCGGCUUAUCAGCUUGUUGGUGAGGUAGUGGCUUACCAAGGCUUUGACGGAUAGCCGGCCUGAGAGGGUGACCGGCCACAUUGGGACUGAGAUACGGCCCAGACUCCAACGGGAGGCAGCAGUGGGGAAUAUUGCACAAUGGGCGGAAGCCUGAUGCAGCAACGCCGCGUGCGGGAUGACGGCCUUCGAGUUGUAAACCGCUUUCGCCGGUGACGAAGCGUGAGUGACGGUAAUGGGUAAAGAAGCACCGGCUAACUACGUG